CCAGCUGCCCCGGUCGGUCGGUCGUUCGGUCGCCUCUCACAGAUACACACCUUUAACGGAAAAAUGAAAGCAAAUCUUUGUAACGAACUCGAGUUGAAAAACCGGUAUUUCGAAAAAGACAACGCCAAGAGGCCAGAGAGCUCUCGAGCUCUUGGCUCGAUGUGUAUGUAUCCGUUGAAUUCUUGAGUGAAGUUUUCUGUAUUUGAGCGGGACUCUCCAAAAUAAAAGAACUCAAAGAACGACUAUGUCACGCACGCCCGCUUAUUUUCCAAGGCGAUAUUGACAGUGAUGAGCACGUCUUGUCGUUUUACUACCUGUUGAUGGAGAUGGAGAUGCCGACUGCCAAAGAGCUGCUGGUGCUGAUGCUGAUGUUGCUGCUGCUUCUGCUGCUGGUUGGAAAUUUCGCUGUACUUUGAUUAAUUACAGGUGAAUCAAAGUGGGGGUCACUCGUGGACUGUUCGUUGUUUAAUUACAGAGCAUGCUCCAGUGGUUGCAUGGGAAAAUGUUCUUACCCCCCACCGCAACUCAUAUUUAUGUAUGGUCUUUAAUAACUUUAUGUAGUCGCGCGAUUGUGGCUUAUUAGUUGGUCAACAUACCAACUCGUAGUUAGGCCUGUGGUUAGCUUGGAAUGCAUAAUGAGAUGUUGGAAUUGGUGGAGCUCAUAAAGGGAAAUUUUCAUAAACGGCUAAAAACGUUUUACAGCAAAUCAAGAAUAAAUGAACCAAAAGUCGAGAGGGAGAAGCGUAGAAACGUGCUCCUUCUGACCAUUGCGAGAUGGCAAUUCUUCGUCAAUUUCCAAUUUGUUGAUGCUUGGCACGUACUCCGCCUCGCACACAUCUGCACCGAUCACCGGGUGGAUCGACACUGGUGGCCAAAACAUUAUGUCCAGCUCAAUAUAUUCAUAUGUUUGUGUAAGAAAGAACUGCCCCAUAAGGGAAUACCGAAAAUAAUUCUCGGAAUUCCAUGUAAGACAACGCUAUGCCUUGCUUAUUUAUGUAUGUAUGUGUAAUAAAGGUGAAAAAAUUCACACUCUACUUCUAUAAA